UACGUAGGGGACUAGCGUUGUUCGGAAUUACUGGGCGUAAAGCGCGCGUAGGCGGAUUUGUAAGUCAGGGGUGAAAUCCCGGGGCUCAACCUCGGAACUGCCUUUGAUACUGCAAAUCUCGAGUCCGGAAGAGGUGAGUGGAAUUCCUAGUGUAGAGGUGAAAUUCGUAGAUAUUAGGAAGAACACCAGUGGCGAAGGCGGCUCACUGGUCCGGUACUGACGCUGAGGUGCGAAAGCGUGGGGAGCAAACAGG
rnacentral:rRNA from 1 species